AUGGCCUGGGGCAGAAGCCCCGUUUUGCCCAGAAGACUCCGGAGUCCGCUCCGCCGGCUGCUGCCCUCGGCGCCAGGCCCAGCGGCCUUCGCCCCGCCCCCCGUCUCUCAUUGGCUCCCCCGGGACACGUGGGGGGAAGGAGGCGUGGCCACCGCGGCUGGGGCUGGCGGCCUGCGGCCGGCGGGGAUGAGAGGCCCGCGGACUCGGGCCUGGGGCCGCAUGGCAACCGUGGUGCCGGGCUGCUGGCGACGGCGGAGGGCGGAGGAGCUUCAGGUUCCGGGGGACGCGAAACGGGCAUGCAGGAGAGGAGAAGCAGCCGGGCCAGAGUGGGGCCGAGCCCCUGUGAAGCUCAGUGCCCCAGUGUCCUGCAGCGGCGAGGGGCUGCCACGUGUGGGGAUUCCUCAGAACGGCGGAAGGAGCUGGGCCCAGCCUUGCCCGAGAUGUAUGGCGGGGGAGUCUGAAAUGGACACCAUCGUGGACCAGCCCGCUGGCAUCAUGAUGUGGUCUUGGAGAGCAGGGCUCCCCUGCCGGCUCCUGCCACUGGGCCACAGAUCCACACCGCUCUUUGCCGGGAUUGUGGCCAAGUGGGACAACGGUUUCUACAUGCCGGACAAGACCUCGUUUCACAGUGGCACAGCGUCUGGCCACCUGUCCGCCCCUAGCCAUCUGGUCCUCCCAGUUAUUUCUGCGGGUGAAGGGACAUCUUAACCACACCGAGAACCAUUAAGGAGCAAGCUGGAAGGUUCCAGUUUGGGUCUCAAGACGUCCAUGUGCCAACAAGUGUCAAUCUCACAGAUGGACCUGGGCACCCACCUGUUGGAAUCACCGGUUCAGGAGAUCCCAUCGCCUACCGCGCUAGAGCCAGGAGGACCCCCAUCACCUCAUAGGAGCCUUCGGACUGUUGGCACCUGCUGCACCCUUCAGAUGUAUCUUCUUGACAAGGAAAUCAUUUGCAUCAUGUAAAAGUUAAAGAACAUUUCAGUGUCAAAUUUCCUAUGAAGUUAGAGAACCCUGUGGCUCAUGGAACCAUAUCCAGAUGUAGCUCUGCUUUCAGACUCUCCAGUAGUUUUGUGGUUGUACCCAGGGCUCCUUAUAUGCUCAUUUUUAAUUAAAAGAUUUAUUUUUAUAUUUAAAAUACUCUAUAAUCUUAAACUGAAUUUUACUAAAUGUUGGUGUCCAUUCCGUUCUGUGUAAUUCCCCAAAUGAAGUUAUCGGGCACAGGGCCUCUUUUAUAUUAAAAUUGAAAUUUCUCACUUUUCUUGGGUUUUCAAUGCAUCAUCUGACUGUGGAGACGGGUGUCACUUUCCCUGGAUCUGAAGGCUUCCUGAGAUGUCCUAGUACUUACCAGACACGGUCCUCACAAAAUCACUGGGUUCCAGCUCCACUCUCAGGCUCUUUACCCUUCCAAGGCCAGGGUGGUGGGCAGAGGCCCUGCACUCCCUGCCUGGUCAUCUCAUGCCCAUGGCCUGUUCCCUGCCAGCGGCUGUCCCUCAGCACCGACAUCCGCAGGGCCAGCCCGCCAGCGGUCACGGCAUGUGGUCAUGGAGGGACUUCACGUGGCGCAGAAGGGCAGACCGGGUGUUGGGAGGAAACCCGUACGACACCAGCUGUGCUGUGGAUUAUCCGGGAUCACAGGGCACUGCUGUGUCGCAGGAAAGAGGAGACUGCCUCCGGCAUCCGGGGAGGUCACAAGUCCUGUGGCCCAGAGUCAGGUCACCAACUGCCGGGGAUGAGCCAGCCGUCCUCACCAGGAUGACCAGGCCUGGAGCGGCGAGCCUGAGGUCUGUGGCCGUGAAACAGGUGCCAUCAGGGAGCUUUCUUGUGCUCCUCUCUGCUAAAGGAGACGCGUCGUAAUUCUUAGAGAAACCGUGGGGGCGCAGAGCUUCUUAGAUUCACAGCAUUCCUUUUUGUGCGUCAGCCCGUCCGUUUCGCCCAGAUUCACGGGGAGAGGAGGAGGCCGCACGUUUACUUAGUUGUGCUGGGGAACGAGCGCACACAUCGCCGCGGCUACUUGGUGAAGAAAGCUUGUUCCGUGGAGAGUAAGCCCCCUGCCCCUUCCUGCCUGGUGGGAGGCACCCCGUGCAGAGCCAGCCAGAUGGGGUGCAAGGCUCACGUCCCCCAGGGUGUCUGUGGGAGGGGGUGAUGGCCCACAGGGUUUGCUGGGAGCAGAGAGAGGCAUGCACGCAUGGCCUGGGUGACCCUCGGUGGUCGCCCCUGUGCCCCAGUGCGCGACCCCUCAAACCCCAAAGCGGACACCCCUCUGGGAAGCCAGAGGACAGGAAAGCUUAGAGCAGCAGGGACAAU
rnacentral:lncRNA from 1 species